GCUUGUCUCAAAGAUUAAGCCAUGCAUGUCUAAGUAUAAAUCUUUUACUUUGAAACUGCGAACGGCUCAUUAUAUCAGUUAUAGUUUAUUUGAUAGUCCCUUACUACUUGGAUAACCGUAGUAAUUCUAGAGCUAAUACAUGCAGGAAGACCCGACUUCGGAAGGGUUGUAUUUAUUAGAUAAGAAACCAAUCCAGCUUGCUGGUUGCGUGCCGAGUCACAAUAACUGCUCGAAUCGCAUGGCUUUACGCCGGCGAUGGUUCAUUCAAAUUUCUGCCCUAUCAGCUUUCGAUGGUAGGAUCGAGGCCUACCAUGGCGUUUACGGGUAACGGAGAAUUAGGGUUCGAUUCCGGAGAGGGAGCCUGAGAGAUGGCUACCACAUCCAAGGAAGGCAGCAGG
rnacentral:rRNA from 1 species